rnacentral:rRNA from 5 species
AAAUUGAAGAGUUUGAUCAUGGCUCAGAUUGAACGCUGGCGGCAGGCCUAACACAUGCAAGUCGAACGGUAACAGGAAACAGCUUGCUGUUUCGCUGACGAGUGGCGGACGGGUGAGUAAUGUCUGGGAAACUGCCUGAUGGAGGGGGAUAACUACUGGAAACGGUAGCUAAUACCGCAUAACGUCGCAAGACCAAAGAGGGGGACCUUCGGGCCUCUUGCCAUCGGAUGUGCCCAGAUGGGAUUAGCUAGUAGGUGGGGUAACGGCUCACC